ACCAAAGAAAUUGCUAAUUGAAUAGAGUCAAGAUGUUGAACUAGUCAUAUUUGCCCAUUAAAACAGGCAGUCAUCCAUUCAAGCUUGGCCAAAAUCGAAGCGCCAAGAUUUUUUAUUCCGUCGCUCUCUCGAACAAUUUAAGCGUGGAAUUCGAUUGUGGAUAAUCCGCAGGACAUGCGCAGCAAUAAAGAGCCAACUGAGGUGAUUAGGCACGCCGAUUGCCAUUGGUGUUGACUAUAAAAUAGUCGGCAGCUUAGUUUCGUUACAGCAACUUAUGCUCGAACGCAUAAAAAAGCAGCGGCAUUUAUUUGUUUACCCAAGCCAAGGAUAAUGGAGCAGCUGGCCCAGUUUGUCACCAAGUCCUUUGAGUUCAAUCUAACUAACAACAGUGUUCACGCCUUAUUCAAUUCGAUGACGGGCGCGCGUUUGAAAAAACCCACGGAAGUGAAAAACUCCAUAUUCAUAAACUCGAUCAGUUCCGGCGGCAGUUACGCCGAUACUUGCGCGAGUGGCGAGGAGUCCGUGGACAUAGACAUUACCGACCUGUCCGUAUCCGAGAGCAACACGAUCCUCGCGGUCGAUCCGGAGCCACCGGAAGAAACCCAUUCGCAGCGCGAGGAGCAUGUGGAAACCUACAGCCUUAGUCCCACUCUCCACAAGGCCGCGGUGGAGCCGAAGCCCAAGAACUGGCUAAUUUCGGAGGAUUUGGACGUGGACUCCCAGCCGGAAGAUCCAAAACUGUCUGGAUUGCCCACUGCCAACAUAACCGAGUGCACGGAGGACAGUAAUACGCCGAAGCUGGCGCCGGAUAAGCCAUUAUUGCCGGAAGAGUGCGUCUCCCCGGAGCCCAGCCGCAACCGGGAGCACUGCGAUCCGCUGGACUCGUCGCUGGUGAACACCAAGCAGCGGAGAUCGCGGACGAACUUCACCCUGGACCAGCUGAACGAGCUGGAGCGACUGUUCGAGGAGACCCACUAUCCAGAUGCCUUCAUGCGCGAGGAACUGAGUCAGCGACUGGGCCUCAGCGAAGCUAGAGUGCAGGUAAUUAUGUCCGCGCAUCUACUCCAUAAAUUAUACCCCGAUUGCAACUUGACAUUGGAAAUGUCCGAGGACGCCCCUUUGGACACCACGAGGUCCAAAUUGAUUUUCAAUGGUUAUUCAUUACACUUGUACUAAUGACAACCAGACAUUGUCUCCCCGAAAUAUUUCGACCGAAUGUGGAAGCAGUGACUUUGAUUUUUCAACCACCGGCAUUGUGAAAAUAAUGAAGGGAACUACAUUGGCAAGCCGAAGUUUAUAUACCCUAAAGAAAACUAGAAAAUGAUUCAAUCAACGAAGUUUUUCAAUUACUAUAAUCCGGCUUUUAACAGAAUACAUAGAUACAUAGAUACUAUCUCCGAUGAUAAUAAUACCUACCUUUGGUAAAGAUGAAAACUGCACAGAUCUGCAGACAAAAUGACAGACAGAUAUACGGACAUGCGGACUUACGGACAUGCGGACUUACGGACAUGCGUAAAUACUGACACGCGGACAUACGGACAAAGAGACACAGCUCGUCCAGCGAUGCUCAUCCAUAAUAUAUACUUUAUAAGAGCAGAAGUUAAAUUGCCAAGCUUCUAUGGAAAUGCAUAUACCCUUUGUAAGGGUAUAGGGAUAUGGGGUGUUAAGUGGUUUACGCCACCCUUUGUCGUCUGGGACACAAGUAGAAAAUUGCUCGAGCAUCGGGGGGCCGGUUAGAGAUUAAAUGCUCAAUCAGGGUGCUGGAAUAGGCACUAUGUGGUCAUGAAAUAUGUAGUUACAAUUCCAAAGCCAGCAGGAGUGUCACUUUUUUUAUGGUUUGGUUUCAAAAUAGAAGGGCGAAAUGUAGAAAGCACGAAAACCAAAUGCACAAAGGAUUCCUCGUGGGCAGUCGGAGUCCUCCGAUCGCCACUCCGCUGGAACCAUGUCGCGUGGCUCCCUACGUCAGCCUGGCC